GGAUAAUCCACUCUCUCCAAGAAUAAUAAGACUCUAAUAUUGUAACAAAAGAAGUAUCAGUUUAGAGGAGGGUAAUCCGCAACCUCUAAAAUGCUAAUACACCUUCAAGCAGAGGGAUAAUUCACACUCUAACGAGGAAGAAACUAGCUCUGAUAUCUGAGGUGAGUUCAGUCUCGACAAACUGUCAUGGACACAGAAAUUAUCAUGGACACAAAAAUACAAGCUUGAGAUCUAACAAGAAGUUCAAGAAGAAUUGGCAAGAAGUAGAUUAAUCAGAUGAAUACAAGAACAACACCAGAGAGGUGA
rnacentral:lncRNA from 1 species